AGCAGCCGCGGUAAUUCCAGCUCCAAUAGCGUAUAUUAAAGUUGUUGCAGUUAAAAAGCUCGUAGUUGAAUUUCGGGAUCAAUAUGUUGGCCGUGCCUCGGUACGUACUAGCAUAUUGGUUUCUCCUUUCUGAAGAACCAUGAUGCCAUUUAUUUGGUGUCGUGGGGAAUCAGGACUGUUACUUUGAAAAAAUUAGAGUGUUUAAAGCAGGCUCACGCUUGAAUACAUUAGCAUGGAAUAAUGAAAUAGGACGUUUGAUUCUAUUUUGUUGGUUUCUAGGAUCGACGUAAUGAUUAAUAGGGAUAGUUGGGGGCAUUAGUAUUCAAUUGUCAGAGGUGAAAUUCUUGGAUUUAUUGAAGACUAACUACUGCGAAAGCAUUUGCCAAGGAUGUUUUCAUUAAUCAAGAACGAAAGUUAGGGGAUCGAAGACGAUCAGAUACCGUCGUAGUCUUAACCAUAAACUAUGCCGACUAGGGAUCGGAUGAUGUUGAUUUUUUAAUGACUCAUUCGGCGCCUUACG
rnacentral:misc_RNA from 1 species